ACACUGACGUCGCGACGCAUAUCAAUAAGCGGAGGAAAAGAAACUAACAAGGAUUCCCUUAGUAACGGCGAGUGAAGCGGGAAGAGCUCAAAUUUGAAAUCUUCAAGGUUCUACCUUGACGAAUUGUAGUUUAAAGAAGUGUUUUCGGUUAGAGGAGUAGUAAAAGUUCUUUGGAAUAGGACAUCAUAGAGGGUGAGAAUCCCGUAUUUGACUAUUCUUUCUAGCUUUGUGAUACACUUUCAAAGAGUCGGAUUGUUUGGGAAUGCAGUCCAAAAUGGGUGGUAAAUUUCAUCUAAAGCUAAAUAUUGGCGAGAGACCGAUAGCGAACAAGUACCGUGAGGGAAAGAUGAAAAGAACUUUGAAAAGAGAGUUAAACAGUACGUGAAAUUGUCAAAAGGGAAGCGUUUGACACCAGUGUUGUUUUCUCGAAAAUCAAUUAAAAAUGACUGGAUUUUGUGUUGUAUUGACUUUAUCAGCUUUCUGCACUUUUUUCGCUGUCUUUCUUAAUGCACUUUUUCGGUUAACAAGUCAACAUCAAUUUCUUUUGUUGUAAAAGAGUAUUCGGAAGGUGGCUUUCUUUUCGGAGAAAGUGUUUAUAGCCCUAUACUUCUACAAUCGGAGAGAUUGAGGUCUGCAGCGUAGAUCCUUCGGGGUUAGAUACACUUGUGCUAAGUUAUAGCUUUUCAUAGACAACUUGUUGACUAUGUUUAGUCUUGUAGCUUACUCGCUUGUGCUAUUUUACCUACGCUUAGGAUGUUGAGUCGUAGAGCACGCAG
rnacentral:rRNA from 1 species